GACGGACGCUGGCGGCGUGCUUAACACAUGCAAGUCGAACGGAAAGGCCCUGCUUUUGUGGGGUGCUCGAGUGGCGAACGGGUGAGUAACACGUGAGUAACCUGCCCUUGACUUUGGGAUAACUUCAGGAAACUGGGGCUAAUACCGGAUAGGAGCUCCUGCUGCAUGGUGGGGGUUGGAAAGUUUCGGCGGUUGGGGAUGGACUCGCGGCUUAUCAGCUUGUUGGUGGGGUAGUGGCUUACCAAGGCUUUGACGGGUAGCCGGCCUGAGAGGGUGACCGGCCACAUUGGGACUGAGAUACGGACCAGACUCCUACGGGAGGCAGCAGUGGGGAAUAGUGCACAAUGGGCGGAAGCCUGAUGCAGCAACGCCGCGUGCGGGAUGACGGCCUUCGGGUUGUAAACCGCUUUCGCCUGUGACGAAGCGUGAGUGACGGUAAUGGGUAAAGAAGCACCGGCUAACUACGUG
rnacentral:rRNA from 1 species